UCCGAUUAUUAUUUGCAUUACUUUAUUAGGGUUUUUUUCCUGAUUUCACCUGCAUUUUCUUGGGGUCAUUUGUAAAUUCAAUUUUUGGCUUGGGAGGAAAACUUCGGGGUGUGACAAUAACCCACACAUAAAAUAUCAGCCCAGUAAUCCAUAUACCCUAUAAAAGAGAUAGGCUAUACCCUAAAUCCUAACCGUCCCAACCGUUUAUCUCUUUCUUUCUAUUUUAUGGCUUUUAUUGAAUUUGGUUCUUCCUCUUCUGUAGUAGAGUCUAUUAUAUUUUGGAUGACAACCUGUGGUAUUUCAAGGAUCAGAUAAUCAGGUUGUCUAUCUCGGAUUUAUUUACGUUGGAGCAAGGCAAGUUAUUAUUCCUCCCCUUUGAGCAUAAUUAAUUCCUAUAUUUUAUAUCUCUAUUAUUCCAUGCAUUAGACAUACAUGAUUUUGAAUGCAUAACCUGAACAUAGUAAACCAGAUAUAUGCUAGCUUUGCUUAGCCCUGCCUAGUUAGAUUAUGCAUAAAAUUUAAUGAAGUUAGAUUGGGACAGUACAAUAUAAAUGGUUGAUUUCCGGGUGGCUAGUACUGUUCCAACCGACAUAAAAUUGCCAAGUACAUGUGAAAAACAUACGAGUACGACCACAAUUCUCGUAUGGGUAUAGACCUAGCUGAUUAAGUUAUCUAGCAAAAGUGGUGCCUUUGUACAGUGGUUCUAUUUUAAGUCCUCGCGCAGGAGGCAAAUUUAUGUCGCGAAGGGCAAUUGCGAUAUUUACCGAGGCGCAGGUAAAUAUAUGAGAUUUAUUGAUGUCGACUUGUUUGUGAACCCUGAUUGCGAUGACAUGGUGUCAUACAAUCAGUUCUCUCUAAAGACCUCGGGAACGCCAGAACUCCUCUCGCUGCUGAUAACGUUACGUUCAGAGCGUAUGGGGACUAGAGUUCAUGGAACAUGUACCACUGAUGUUAGUAACCAAAAAGCUUUGCCAUGACAAGGCUAAUGUGUUUGGCACGUCAUGGAUUGCGGGUAAAGCGUACAUUUACUACAGUAAAGUAUAAAUGAAUCUAUUCGAAUAGCCGUGCUCACGGAUUUGAGCAUUGGGACUCAUAUGGUAUUUGGUUAGAAACUUAAUUCCAAAUUUUAUUAAAUACUGUUGCAUUUAAAACAUUUUAGGCUUUCUUCCUCUAUAUUCUUUGCUUUCUGCAAGUAAACCUAGCUUUACUCAGAUAUUACCAUUUCAUGCAUUCAUUAUUGAAUAUAAUAGAUUGCCGAGUACGUUGUACUCACCCUUGCUUCAACCCCUUUUUCAGUCAUUUUGGAGUCCUUGCUAAAGUUGGGAGUUCAAACACAUAAGUUAGUUUCAUUCUAACUUAAUUCGCAAAUAUAGAUUAGAUAGAUGGUUUAAGUCUAUAGUCAAACAUUAGAGUUAAGUCAUUCUAUAGGUUUUGCUGUAAUAGUUAGCCACAGCCUUGUAAAUACCCUAUUAUUUUACAUAAAGAAAUCUCCUUUGUAGCCUUGCAUGAUCAAAUGUAUGCGAUGAAGAUCCAGAUUGUUGAACUUGUAUCAAUCUACUGAUCCAGGGCUUGAUACAGUUUUAAUAUGUCGGUUUUCGAAUCAUUAGUUUCGGGACCCGACAAAAGCUAAAUCAGAUUUGAUGUAAACUAGCAUGGUCACGUAUGUUAGAAAACGAUAGGCACAUAAACGAUGAAGAACAAUAGAUCAAUCAUAGACGACACGAGAUUUUAAUGUGGAAAACACUCCUAAGGCAGGAGAGGAAAAACCCACGGGCGCCAGCCAGCAAAUCUUCACUACAUCGGAUGAGGUUACAAAAACGCCGAACGACGGCUUACAAGAAGUAUAUAUAAGGUGAAACCCUAAAGUAUGACGAUCCAUACCGCUUCGCUCCGUCCCAAGCCUCCGGCAACGGACCUCCACUUCGCUCCGUCUGAAGUCGCCUUUUAUAUGUGCAAAUGAAUUUGGAUCACAACUCAACAACGUACUCCCUCAAAAUAUAGCAAUCUUUGCGAUUCAAAUUUGUCCUAACUAGAGCUAUCUAGGAUUGUAAAAGGUGAUUAUUUUGGAACGGAGGAGGUACGUCUUUGGACAUUCAGACGUGCCACGGAGGCAUGGACUGCGUUCAGACAAGCAGUGCAAGUGCAACUCUUCCCUUCGGCCCCAGUUAUUUUUCUGAACUUCUCGUUUUUAGUUAACACUCUUUUUAAAUUGUUAGAUGAUACGUUUUUGGCAAAAAGUUUCUUUGUAGACACUGUUAAAAAAAUAAAUCUAUUUUUUAAUUUUAUAAUAGUUAAUACUUAAUUAAUCAUAUGCUAAUGAGUUUUCUCAUUUCGUGUGAGCUGAAAAUAUCUCUCCAAAAUCGAGACAACAAAUGGGGCCAAAUUACAAAGCCCUCAAAUGGGCCUUACACUUGCGCAGUUGGGUGGUGAGGCUAAUCGAGUGGCCCAGUCCGAUGAGGUGGGCCGACACCAUCCAUUAGUGGCGCCUCCACUGUGCCAUGCGAAACAAGUGGCCCAUCAGCGAUUGCCCUUCUCCCUGCCGCUCGGAGGCCUGGUGACAGACGGGGAAGAUAGGGUAGAGAGGAGGAAGAAUGUUGCCUACCGCCCUUCUAGUUUGUAGUGACCGUUGUCCUUCUAGUUCGCUGCACUCACUGCCCCUCUCUAAGUAGGCGGCCGUCCCUCUCCUUUCUAUUCGCUGCCCACCCGUUAGCCCUCCUUGUUGGCUACCCCUCUCCAAGUUAGUAUCCACCCUUCUCCCUGCCGCUCAAAGGCUAGUUGAGAAUAUGAGAGAUGCUGAAGAGAGGGAAGGAGGGAGAAGAAGAGUUGGCCGCUGACAUGUGGGGCUCACUCGUUGCGUCAGCCAAAAUUGGGUACUAUACUAUCUUGAACCUCACACCAGUUUUGCAUGUUAAAGAAAUGUGUUAUAUUUGGUAUUAUGGUUCAAAAACAUAAUUCAAACUCAGCGUCAAGAUACGAGAGAUGUAAAAUGAACUUAUUCCAUCUACAAAUGGAUUAUGUUCUUCACCACGCCUGUCGACGGGUGAUACCUGUAGACCGGAUCUAUAGGGUAUUGGGGUACGUCGGUACUAGGAUCUACACGAUACGACAUCAAGCAAACAAGAAGACAAGGAUUAUACUGGUUCAGGCCCCUCGUAAGGUAAUAGCCCUAAUCCAAUUUAUAUGGGAUUAAUAUGGAAAACCACAUAUUACAAUAAAGAACAACUGAUCCCAAGAUUACUGGCGAGAUCCUUGUCGAGAUGGAUUCGACGAGAUCUCUCGGCGAGUAGGCUUCACGUCCUCUGGCUUGUAGGUUAUGGUGGUGAUUUGGCACAAAGAUUCGAUGAUCCACACCCCUCAGAGGGUGUGGCUUUUAUACCGUGAAUCACCUUAGUCUCCUAGUAGAACUCGGAGACCACGGACCCUGCACGAUAUAGUACAAACCAAAUCCUUUUCGAGUAGGACUCUAUUAUCACCUUGCCUGCAAGGAUUAUUUCCAUAAUAUCUUGUAAAUUCCCUGAUCAUAUACGAAACACAUUGUGUACAAAGAGGUAUACCGUAUCCGUGUAUUCUAUAAGUCGUAGGAUAUAAGGUAUGCCUUAUCCUUAACCAUGACAGUAGCCCCCGAUUUCAACUCAAAUGAGUCCUCGUUGUCAUCCCAGACUUCACGGACGAUGUUGUCAUACUCACGUGGUCGUUCUCGAUAAGAAUCAAGAAGAUAUGGAGUUUGCGACAUCAUCGAAAGAAGAUCAACGGUCCACAAAUGAAUUUGAAUUGAAGUCUAAAACAACUGCCAAUAACGGGCCUCAGAAAAUUUCGGCGGCAAUCUCUCUCCUUUCCUCGAAAUGUGAACCGUUCGGUAGUGCUCCUAUAAAACUUGACUCUAGGAUCCAUUUUAGGUCCGUUUGCCUAAAAAAUCCUUUCGCCUUCCUGUUCAUCUUGCUUCCAAGAACCCCUAAUUCCUUUUCUUCUUCCUCGCCACCCCAAGAUCGCCCUCAUGGAUUUGGGUAAAUCCACUAUCGACACCACCGGGAUGAAGAAGCUGCAGGUGGAGGGCUCGAUCCCUGGACGCCAAAACCUGGAGCGCUCAGAAGGAGGUACUGAACCCCAACCCGCCCUAGGGCAAGUCGUAGUUUUAGAAGAUUUCGUCCGUUGUGGUUUUUUGCCUCCUCCUUCCGAAUUCCUCCUCUUGAUCUUGAACUUUUAUGGCCUCAGCCUUCUACACUUGAAUCCUAGCUCCAUUGCCUUCUUGAGCAUUUUUGCUUAUCUUUGCGAGGCCUACAUCGGUGUAGUGCCUUUCCUUGAUCUUUUUCGUUAUUAUUACGAACUCUGAUGGAUGGAGCCCCAUAGAAUCUCAGGAUGCUGUGGGUUCCGCGUCCGAGAUGGGAUGAAGGCGGAAUAUAUCCCCUUCAACUGCCCUUCUUCUCAGAGCAGCUAGAGGUCAAAGUGGUUCUACCUUCAUGUAGACGAGCUCGAUCCUGUUCUCGUUGUCCUAGAAGAUCAGCCUGAGCGGUCUUCUGACUAGACUUCAAAACCAUCCUUGAUUCCAUCCCUCCAGGCUUUUUUAGACAUAGUUAGCGACCUCUGAAAACAAGGGUUGGCCGGGUAUGAAGUUGCUGUAGACUUUAUACGCCGUCGUAUUCAACCGCUCUAAGCUCGUGCUCACCCUGUGUACGAGUACAUGGGGGAUGAAGACGUGACGCGCGUUUCUCAGUGGGGUACUCGUUCUCGCGAUGUCGCAUGCUCUUCAGAAAAUAUCAUUGACUCCCCCUUUACUGACUUUCAUUGUUCCCUUGUAGGUUUGAAUGACGACAUCGUGAAGGCAAGGGUCGGGCAAGUCCUGAUAAGCCCUCCCUCAGGUUCCACGCAGCUGCCAACCCCCGUCUGCGACCUCCCCGUCGCCGACAAAGAUGCAGCCAUCAAUGUGUGGAGGGGGUUUCGCCAGGUUGCCGUCAAGGUUAAAGGCAAGUGCAUGACGAACUAACUGUGUGAUUCAUAGAUUGUUUGCUCUAUCUAUUUAUGUCCGAUAUAUUUUUAUGUGAUAUGUGAUAUGUGAUUGCUUAUAUUCAGAUUGUUUGUUUACGCCAUAUAUAUUUCAACUUUAUCUUGUGUUUACGAUGUUAUUCUUAUUUCAAUAUUCCAGAUUAUGGUUCUGUUUAAAUAAUUCAAGUUCCAUGCUUGACAUGGAUGUUUCAAUUUGUUUCUUUGUUUCCGGUUUCAACUAUUCAUGUUCCAUGCGAGUCAUGGAUGUGCUAUCUAGUUUUUAUUCAGGUUCCUGUGGGUAAGCGCUGAUCACGCUUACUCGGCUUUGCUGGCAAAUGCUAGGAUGUAUUCAUAAUUGUCCGGGAUGGAAACUACUAUUUCAAUUCAUGUUUGCCCGGGAUGGGAACUACUAUUUUCUUUAACUUGGUGUUUGAAAUGUGUUUCUUUUCAAAGAAAGAAAGUGUCCUGUUCAGACUUUAUUGCCAAUAAUGUGUAUACAUGUUUUCUAGUUCUAUAUUGUGCUUGCUGAGUGAUCUA